rnacentral:rRNA from 1 species
CUUACCAGGGCUUAAAUGUAGUCUGACAGGGGUGGAAACACCCUUUACUUCGGACAGAUUACAAGGUGCUGCAUGGUUGUCGUCAGCUCGUGCCGUGAGGUGUCAGGUUAAGUCCUAUAACGAGCGCAACCCCUGUUGUUAGUUGCCAGCGAGUCAAGUCGGGAACUCUAACAAGACUGCCGGUGCAAACCGUGAGGAAGGUGGGGAUGACGUCAAAUCAUCACGGCCCUUACGUCCUGGGCCACACACGUGCUACAAUGGCAGGUACAAUGGGCAGCCACUGCGUAAGCAGGAGCGAAUCCACAAAACCUGUCUCAGUUCGGAUCGGGGUCUGCAACUCGACCCCGUGAAGCUGGAAUCGCUAGUAAUCGGAUAUCAGCCAUGAUCCGGUGAAUACGUUCCCCGGGUCUGUACACACCG